rnacentral:tRNA from 1 species
GGCUCAGAUGCUAAAGCGUCUGCUUGCAAUGCAGGAGACCCAGGUUCGAUCCCUGG